GAGCGGCCGCCGCCGCCGCAGUCGGUACGGGUACCUACGCCCCUUGUUGCCCUUUGUCGCCGACGUCCUGUUCAAGCUGGAGGAACGCUUCCUCGUUCCCAUGGCCUCAGCGCGCCGGAAGUUCGACGAGGUCGAGCUGUGCGAGAAGGCAAAAGAGGGCUGCCGAGCGCGCCACGAACUAGAGACGCGGCGCGGACCCCCCACCCAGGUCCACCGGCAGUCGGCGCGGCGGGGGCCGCGGAAGCAGCAGCCGCAGCUGGAGCGCGGGUAGGCGGGGUAGGCGCCGCGAGAGAGAGAGUUCCUUCUGUAUUGACGGUCACGGUCCACGCCGCGGCGGCACGCCGCCGAGUACCUGAGCUCCCCGCAGUGCAGUAAACUUCAGCAGGAGGUGCUGCCACAACCUGCUUUCUUUUUCUCUCCUUUAGCAAGGCACACGCCACCGUUGUCACGUAGCCGACGCGUCCUCCGGUGUUGGUGCGUCAGUCGCGAACAGUACCUGCGGCACGCGGAUCGAUGGUACAAGGAGCGGGGGUUACCGUGGAAGUAGUGGUUCAAGAAGUCCACAGUUCUAAUGUUCCGACAUUACAAGACGGACUUUGUCGAUAAACUCGCACAAGUAGACUCAUCUGGACAUCGUUCAACCAGGUGCGGACGACUUUAAAUACAAUAGACAGACUCUAUAUUUCGGGGACGUUUAUAAGUUGGUCUUGAAGAACUAAACUUCGUGGACGUGAACAACUCACACCUACGUCUCUUUGCGUUCGCCGUCCUUUCGUGUCUUUAGACCUUUUGACCAGAUCGUAGUCUAAAAUAUACCAGACUCCGGGUCUGUGGUGAUCUCAAAGAACCAAGGAAAAACUGUUAAAGUAAACUGCUAGGUCGUAGAGACGGAUAGUUCUUAGUACUCGAAUGAUGUCUACUCCAUCACCUCAUAACGGACGGAUCGAAGAGAAGACAGAAUCAAUACUGGGACCAACGAACAUGGAAACGACAGAUCGUCUAUUUUGUUGAGACACUUAUAAACAAACACGAUGCACUUUUACCGAUGUUAGUAGACAACCUCACUGUGGUUCCUGACUACCCUGACGCUGCCUGUUGUUCCCGUCUCUUCCACUGGUUUAAAAUGUACUUCACCUUCCAAACUUCUUACAACAACUAUCUUUCUCUUACUCUCACUUCACAGUUAGUUCCGGAGUACGUUCCCCAUUUCGUGUGCUCCGUAGUCCUUACGUUUAACUACGACGUCUUCUACCAAUACCACUAGGACUGAACAAGGGAUGAACGCGAUAACUCCCACCUUUUCUUGAAGCUCGACAACUCAGUGGUGACGAUCUAAGCCUUCUUCUGUAGUCUUUGUCACUCUUGCUUCUUUGAGUUCGAAUACUCCUGAGACCACUCCUUUACCUAAUACUAGUUCUUGUUGUCUCCAUACCGCGAGUCUAGUUCCCCUGCGAGCUACUUCGAGUACACGGAAAACACUGAUUUUCCACACCUCUUCAGUUUGCAGGCUCGUUUGCACGUUUCGUUUGGUUAGGGAUACUGUUAUGUCUCUACUUCCAGUUGUCCAGAUCGUCUAGCCGAGUCCCUUCUUCCCACCCGUCACCUCCGAGGUUUCCUCCCUUUCCCUUCUUCCCGCGACCACCGGCCUUUCCUCCGUACGCUGCCUUUCGAUCCGUCUUCCGGCCGUUUCGGCUACUUGACCUUUGUAUUGAGGACGACUUUAAAGGUCGAUCGGUCGUACAGUCUAUCGAUCGACAACAAAAAUAUGUAACAUGAGGGAAACCGAGACCUUUCUGGUUAUUUAAAAGAGGCUCUAGC
rnacentral:rRNA from 1 species